CUCCUACGGGAGGCAGCAGUGGGGAAUCUUGCGCAAUGGGCGGAAGCCUGACGCAGCGACGCCGCGUGGGGGAUGAAGGCCUUCGGGUCGUAAACCUCUUUCAGCAGGGACGAAGGUGACG
rnacentral:rRNA from 1 species